rnacentral:tRNA from 1 species
GUCAUUCGUAUCCUAUUAUGUUAAGGUUUAACUCUGAAACAGUUAAAAAGAAAUUCCAUAUUCCAAUGACA